rnacentral:rRNA from 1 species
ACUCCUACGGGAGGCAGCAGUGGGGAAUAUUGCACAAUGGGCGCAAGCCUGAUGCAGCCAUGCCGCGUGUGUGAAGAAGGCCUUCGGGUUGUAAAGCACUUUCUAGUUGUGAGGAAGGUGGUGUCGUUAAUAGCGGCAUCAUUUGUACGUUAGCAACAGAAGAAGCACCGGCUAACUCCGUGCCAGCAGCCGCGGUAAUACGGAGGGUGCGAGCGUUAAUCGGAAUUACUGGGCGUAAAGCGCAUGCAGGUGGUUGUUAAGUCAGAUGUGAAAGCCCGGGCGUCAACCUCGGAACUGCAUUUGAAACUGGCAGACUAGAGUACUGUAGAGGGGGUA